GACGAACGCUGGCGGCGUGCUUAACACAUGCAAGUCGAACGAUGAAGAAGAGCUUGCUCUUCGGAUUAGUGGCGAACGGGUGAGUAACACGUGACUAACCUACCCCUUUCUCUGGGAUAACGCUCCGAAAGGAGUGCUAAUACCGGAUACUCACAUCGAGGCACAUGCCUUGAUGUGGAAAGUUUUUCGGAAAGGGAUGGAGUCGCGGCCUAUCAGCUUGUUGGUGAGGUAACGGCUCACCAAGGCGACGACGGGUAGCCGGCCUGAGAGGGGGACCGGCCACACUGGGACUGAGACACGGCCCAGACUCCUACGGGAGGCAGCAGUGGGGAAUAUUGCACAAUGGGCGAAAGCCUGAUGCAGCGACGUCGCGUGAGGGAUGAAGGUCUUCGGAUUGUAAACCUCUUUCAGUAGGGACGAAGCGAAAGUGACGGUACCUAAAGAAGAAGCACCGGCUAACUACGUGCCAGCAGCCGCGGUAA
rnacentral:rRNA from 1 species